GAUGAACGCUGGCGGCGUGCUUAACACAUGCAAGUCGAACGAUGAAGCUCAGCUUGCUGGGGGUACUAGUGGCGAACGGGUGAGUGACACGCGAGUAACCCGUGCUUAACUCUGUGAGAAGCCUUGGAAACUCGGUGUAAUACCGGAGAGGAGCGUUCACGGCACGGGGGGUGGGGGAAAGAUUUCUCGGGUUUGGAUGGACUCGCGGCCUUUCAGCGUGUUGGUGUGGUAAUGGCUCACCAAGGCGACGACGGGUAGCCGGCCUGAGAGGGUGACCGGCCACACUGGGACUGAGACACGGCCCAGACUCCUACGGGAGGCAGCAGUGGGGAAUAUUGCACAAUGGGCGCAAGCCUGAUGCAGCGACGCCGCGUGAGGGAUGACGGCCUUCGGGUUGUAAACCUCUUUCAGUAGGGAAGAAGCGAAAGUGACGGUACCUGCAGAAGAAGCACCGGCUAACUACGUG
rnacentral:rRNA from 1 species